AUGUCUGCAGGUCGCUCUCAGCACACGGCUACCUCGAGCAUGCGGCGCCGGCAAGAGGCCGAGCGCGCCGUGGCAGAGGAGCGUGAGCGAGCGGCUGUAGCAGCGGCUGCUGCGGCGGCAAGAGUGUCGAGGCUGGCUGCAGCGGAGCUGGCAGCAGCCAGAGCGGAGGUAGAAGCAGCCAGGGCGGAGGUAGAAGCAGCAGCAGCAGCAGAAGCAGCCCGUGAGGCUACGGCGGAUGCCAAGGCACUCCGCGGCAGCCCCGGCAGCUCCAGCAGCUCCGCGCCUGCGGACGACGGCGCCGACGCAGAUCGCGCCAAAGUGGCGCAGGAGCGGACGGCGCAGUGGGCAGCCGAGCACGCCCGCGCUCCAGGUGGAGGCGCGCACCGCGACGGCGGCUGCAACGACCAGGACCGCGGCCUCUACGAGGUCCGGACUGUGGUCAGGGAUGUUGGUUCCAGUGUUGGGUGGCCUACCCUCACUAAAACCAACUACGUCGAGUGGGCCGGGAUCAUGAAGGUCAGGCUCCAGGUGCGGCGCAUGUGGGAGGCAGUCCAGGACAGCAACGUCGACCACCUAGAGGAUCGACGGGCGCUGGACGCCCUCAUCGCCGCAGUCCCGCCCGAGAUGCAGUUCUCGCUUUCAACAAGCGGACUGCCAAGGAGGCUUGGGACGCCAUCGCCGCAGCACGCAUCGGCAGCGACCGUGCUCGCAAAAGAUGGUGAAGUUUGGCGAUGCCACCUAACCGAGGAGAGAGCUGUCGAGAAGCUUUUUCGGUGCAUUCCCGAGAAGUACAAGCAGAUGGCUCGCUCGAUCGAGUCGUUGCUGGACCUCUCCACGAUGACGAUCGAGGAGGCGAUAGGUCGACUCAAGGUCGUCGACACCGACGAGCCACAGCCCCCCUCGGGACCCGUCAUCACCGGCGGGAAGCUGCUCCUAACUCGGGAGCAGUGGGAUCCCAGCCUUGGUGACAAGAAGAAGGGGGAGCCUUCCUCCUCGACGGGCGGCCGCAAGCGUGGCAAGCAGCGUAAGGCGCGAAGAGGCCCCCCGGGCAGGGCACAAGGACGUGCCGAAGGUGACGCCCGCGGAGGCGCCAAGGACGGCGCCGCUGGCAAGCCCAGGCCGGCACAAGACAACAGUUGCCACAACUGUGGCCGGUUUGGCCAUUGGGCCAAUGAGUGUCGGCAACCACGACAAGGCCAGGCUCACGUCGCACAGGCGAAGGAGGAGGAGACGGCUCUGUUCAUGGCGCAUGCAAGCAUUGAGCUACCCUCGGCGACUCCAGUCGCAAAGGCUUUCAUCCACCUCGAUGAGCCAAAAGCACAUGCUCUUCUCGGCGAUGGCUCCGAGCUCCUAGCCGAAGCUCAUCCAGGAGCUUCGGCUAGCUGCUCGAACAAAUCGAAUGAGGGUGCACCGGCCUCCAGCAUGAAGCCUGCGAUUAGAGGCAGUCCUUUGCACUCCACCUCAUGCCCGUGCAUUGUUGAGGGAGGGAGGACCUUUGCUGGGCAGUCAAAGGAUGUGCUCGGUUAUGGUGGCCCAACUGCAAGCUUAGCUUGCAGCUCCAGCUUGGAUUUGUCAGAUUUAUUGACUGAUGCAAAUGGAGCUUGCAAUCAGAUCCAAAAGACUAAUGAAGCUGGAGCUGUCAAACUGACCAAAGCAGACAUUAGCUGUUCGAAAAUGCUUGUCAUUCAUGUGCAAGUUAACCAGCUAGGGAAAGUAAUAGCAGUUCACUUGAUCACAUGUUUGAAUCUUCUUAGAAGUUGGAAUCCUUUUGUUUCUCCUCAUGCUGCUACUGUAUCAAUUCAAUUUGAGAAGCACAUUCUUCAUGCGCCUAUAUGUGAGUAUAUUCCAUCACAAUGCCCGGGCACCAAUAGUCAAGAGGAGGAUGUUGUAGAUGAAAGUGAUAGGAGGUAA
rnacentral:rRNA from 1 species